rnacentral:rRNA from 1 species
GACGAACGCUGGCGGCGUGCUUAACACAUGCAAGUCGAACGGAAAGGCCCUGCUUUUGUGGGGUGCUCGAGUGGCGAACGGGUGAGUAACACGUGAGUAACCUGCCCUUGACUUCGGGAUAACUUCAGGAAACUGGGGCUAAUACCGGAUAGGAGCUCCGCUGCAUGGUGGGGGUUGGAAAGUUUCGGCGGUUGGGGAUGGACUCGCGGCUUAUCAGCUUGUUGGUUGGGUAGUGGCUUACCUAGGCUUUGACGGGUAGUCGGCCUGAGCGGGUGACCGGCCACAUUGAGACUGAGGUACGACCCGGAAUCGUGCGGAAUGCAGCAGUGGAGUGUAUUCCACUAUUGACUGAAGCCUGAUGCAGCGACGCCGGGUGCGGGAUGGUGGCCUUCGAGUUGUAAACCGCUUUCGCCUGUGGCGAAGCGUGAGUGACGGUAAUGGGUAAAGAAGCAUCGGCUAACUACGUG